rnacentral:rRNA from 1 species
GACGAACGCUGGCGGCGUGCUUAACACAUGCAAGUCGAACGGAAAGGCCCUGCUUUUGUGGGGUGCUCGAGUGGCGAACGGGUGAGUAACACGUGAGUAACCUGCCCUUGACUUUGGGAUAACUUCAGGAAACUGGGGCUAAUACCGGAUAGGAGCUCCUGCUGCAUGGUGGGGGUUGGAAAGUUUCGGCGGUUGGGGAUGGACUCGCGGCUUAUCAGCUUGUUGGUGGGGUAGUGGCUUACCAAGGCUUUGACGGGUAGCCGGCCUGAGAGGGUGACCGGCCACAUUGGGACUGAGAGACGGCCCAGACUCCUACGGGGGGCAGAAGGGGGGAAUAUGGCACAAUGGGAGGAAGCCUGAUGCAGCAACGCCGCGUGCGGGAUGACGGCCUUCGGGUUGUAAACCGCUUUCGCCUGUGACGAAGCGUGAGUGACGGUAAUGGGUAAAGAAGCACCGGCUAACUACGUG